GAGAGCACGCCCCGCCACCCUCAUUUACAGCACCCGGCGUAUCACAGGGCAGCAUGUGGGCCAAGAAAGGGAGAGUCUUGGAAAGGUGAGGCUAGCUGGCAGCUGGGCACAUCCCCUGAUGUGAAGAAAGAGUCUGGGUAAACCAGAUGGCCGCCUCGGCGCUGCCCAGGGACACGCUGCAGGCUGCUCCUUGGAAGUGGAUGUGAGCAGAAUUUCUUCUUGAGAAAAUCUAAGUCAUCAAGGGAGUUGGUCUGGGAAGAGGAGCUGGUCUCAGGGUGGCUGGCUGCCAGAGUGAUGUGGACAAGUCAUUUCUCCUCCUUGAGCCUCAGUUUCCCUCCCUGUAUGAUCGGGGUGUUCAGUUAUGAUUUCUUAGUGGGAGGCAGCACAGCACGGUGUAGGCACGGAGCUCCUGGUUCCAGUCCUUCGUCUUCCCGGCCGCGGGCCAGUGGGAGAGGCCUGACCUUGUGAAGACCCGGUCUCCCCCUGUGGUCUCUGGGCUGCUUUGAGGGUUUUGUGCGAUGAAGCUCACGUCACUCUUAGCAGAGCGGCAGGGGCCUGGGGGGUGCUCCAUACAGGAGCUCUUAUCAAUGUCAGCUCCACCAGGGAGCGCUCAUGGGGGCUUCGUGGACGGGGAGCGCUGAGCCACGGUCCGUGGAACAUCCCCUCACCUGCGACCCAGUGAAAGGCCACAGACUCCCUUCAUUCAGGUGGAAGUUACCAAAAUCUCCAUCCCCAUUUCACUGAGGUUCCUAAACAUGGUCACUUCUUAUUUGAAACCAUUUCCCAGAGGCAAAGGUCAAGCUGUCCAUUUGGGGUGAAAGAUAAAAAAAGAUAACAACUUCCUCUACUCGGUACUGUAGCCUUGACAGAGCCUGUUCAAGUGUAUGAUCUCAGUGGGGCCUCCCGACAGCCGGUGAGGACGGAGGGCAGCUGCAGGUGAGGACACGGAGCCCAGAGAUUGUCCAAGGCAGCAUGAGCGACAAGGAUGAGGGAAACUGAGGCCCAGAGGUUGUCCAAGGCGCAUGAGCGACAAGGGCCCGGGAGAGGACGAGAAAUCACACCCUCUGGCUGCAAAUCUCGGGUCUGCCCAGGGCAAACAGCGUGGCGGCUGGCUCCUUAGAUCUGGAAAUAACACCGAGAGGCCCUGCUUGUCUUUCCAUCUCUGCACGUGGCGGGCUGGCUGCUGGAGCGGCGGUGACCCCACACGGUCUAGAUGUGCUGUCGGGUGUGUGCGCCCCGUGCAGGGGACAGGCUCCCUGCUGGGGCGGCCUGGACACGUGUCCUCCUCCAGAAAGGGCCUCCCCAGCCUGGCGAAAGGGACCUGCUUCACGAGUCAGCGCUGCACCCCCUCCCGGCCUCGCUGGGUGAGCCCUUGACAGGACAGGGAGUCCGUGUGGAAGCCCGCACCGCAGUCCUCCCAGGGGGCGGGGCGAGGUCCCAGCCAGCGACGCGAGGGAUUCGCUUGGCGACUAGAGGCGCUUGUGAUGAGCGGAUGGACCUUUAAAACAAUACGAACACUGCUGUAGAGGUUCAUGAUGUGUGGUGGAUUUUAAUUCCUCUGAAGCCCUGGUUUGAGACUCAGCUCCUGCAGGGACGGCACCCAGAGGUGGUUCCAGCUUCCACCCAACAUCUGGCCUGACUGUGGCUUCAUCGUCCAGUGCUUGCUCCUGAACUUCUCAUAUGACUGAAUGAGCACUUUUUGGCGAUGUGGUGUUCUAAGGUGAUAUGAACAAAUACUAUGGACUGAAUGUUAGUGUCUCCCCAAAAUUCAUAUGUUGAGGCCCUAACCCCCAAUGUGAUGGUCUGAGGAGGUGGAGCCUUUGGGAGGUGAUUAGGGUUAGAUGAGGUCAGGAGGAUGGGGCCCCCAUGAUGGGAUUAGUGUCCUUAUAAGAAAAGUAGGAGAUGUCAGAGCUUCCUUUCUCCCCCAUCUGAGAAUACAGCAGGAAGAUGGCCAUCUGUGAUCCAGAAGCAAACCCUCACCAACAACUGCAUCUGCAGGCACCUUGGUCUUGGAUUUCAGCCUCCGGAGAAAUAAAUGUCCAUUGUUUAAGCCGCUUAGAUAUUUUGUCAUAGCAGCUUGAGCUACAAUAACACAACUGAGGCUUUUUGUAGUCGUUGUGAUGCAAACGCACAAAUGUCAGUUAGCUACCAUUUCUAUUUUUUCUUUUCUGAACAUUUAAAAAAUGAAUUACAUGCAAAUGAAUUAAAUACAAUAAAACGCAUAGCUCUUCAGCGUUUAGUUCAGUAAGUUUGAACAAUUAUGCACCUGUGUAAUCAUUACCUCCGUCAAGACCAGAGCUUAUCCAUCACCAGAACAUUUCUUUCUGCCCCUUCCCAGUUAAUUAUCGGCCCACCCACACAACCUUGGAGGCAGCAGAUCUCCAGGAGGCAACUCUCACCAUAGAUUAGCUUGGUCUGUUCUAGAGUUUCAAAUCCAUAGAUUCUUCUUUGUGUGUGUGACCUCUGUCACUCCAUGUGAUGUUUGGAGAUAAUUACUAGUACAUGUUGUUGAGCCUAUGAGCAAUCUCUCCCUUUUUAUUGCUGAGUAGUAGUCCAUGUAUGGACAUACCACAAUUUGUGAAUCCACCCUCUAGUGGAUGGGCAUGUAUUUUUUUGACUAUUGUGUAUAUUUUGUCUGUAAAAAUUCUUGCAUAUGUCUUUCUGUUGACAUGUUUCAUUUCUGUUGGGUAAUACCUGGAACUGGAAUUGUUGAGUCAUAGAAGAGACACAUACUUAAUGUGGAAGGAGCUGCCAGACAGAUCCCUAAUGUGGUGGUACCACUUCACUCUCUCCGAUGGAGCGAUGCGUAAUAGUUCCAGUUGCUCUGCAUCUUGCCAGCAUUUGGUGUUGUCAAUCGUUUUUUAUUUUAGCUACUGGGGUGGGUGUGAAAUGGCAUCUCACCGUUGCUUUAAUUUUCACUUCUCUGAUGACAAAUGCCAUUGAGCAACUUUUCAUGUGCUUUCUGGCCUUCAUGUAUCUCCUUUGGUGAAAUGUCUAUUCAAGUAUUUUGCCCAUGUUUAAAAUUAAGUUAUUUGGUUUUUCAUGUUGAUUUGUAGGAGUUCUAUUUAUUUUUGUACUUGUCUCUUCUCCCUUUUACUCCCUAAAUUCCUUGAGAUAUUUUGUCAGUUCUGUCUACAGAGCCCGCCACAAUUCUAUGUAUUAGCAGGUACUUAAUAAAUACUUAUUGGAUUAUCAGCAAGGAUUAGGUUCUGUUUGUACAGUAGCAUUACGUGUUGAUUUUAGUAAAAGAAUUCAGUCAAGGUUAUGUGUUUCAUCUUUUCUAAUGGCAGCAUAUAUUGUUUUUCAGUUAUUAAAUUUGACAUUACUCUUUCCUAGUAUGUCCAUCUUUUACAAAUAUUCAGGCUAUUUUCAAAUGUUUUAGGCCAAUCUGGCAUAUACCAGUUGAGCUUGGAAACUAUAGUAAACUGUACAGUUAGCUUUUUACAAGACUAAGGAAGAUCUGAAGAUUUCAUGAUAGGUGGUCUCUUCUAGACAUUAAAAUAUUUAUAGUCUUAAAAAAAUAGAACAUUGUGUACUAUCCUCUUAUGUUUGUCUCCUCUUCUGAAGUUCAUGAGACAUUUCUUAGCAAGAGCCAGAGCCUAAGGGGCAGAAAGAAGAAAUAUAAAUACUUCUAUUUGAAGAUAAAGAUGGCGAGCAUCGACAAAGGGAAUAUCUGAGGCUUUUAAAAUCUUGUCUCCCUUCCAGUUUUGUCAGCCAAAGCAUUAUAAACUUAUGUUCUGCUUUGAAAGAACACCUGCAAUGAUGUCAUCUUCAUAUUCUUACAUUAGCUUCUAGGCAGUCCGGCCAGCUCAGGGGAGCCAGAGAAAUAUUUCUAUGUUUGUCCACUUGAACAUUGUCCCAGACUCUUUGCUCUUGGGUAUUAACCCAUGUUUUAGCAACACUCUCAUGCCCAGGGUGAUUCAGAGAAUCAUAAACUUGAAUCUUGAAAAUAAUAUGUAGCCAAUAAAUGUAUUACUUUUCAGUUGCUUGGAUUUAAAUUCAAAUGAAUUCAAUAAGUUAAUUUUUUUUUCUGACCUCAAAAGUAAUAAUUGCUUGUAGAAAUAUAGCAUGAAAGUAUACAGAAAUUGAAAAUGGUCUAAUAAUCCAUCUCACAAAAAUAAUAAGUAUUAAAACCUCUUAGGUUUACUUGCAGUCAUUUCUGUUUUGGGGACUAAUAUAUAAUUUCUGUUCUAUGAAAAAAGAAUCAUGUGAAUAUAUUCUAUGAAUUCUGCUUUUUGUUUAUUCCAUGUUGCUUUUUCCAGAAUGAUUUUCACACAUCAUUACAGAUUUUUAAUGACUGUAUAACAUUCCAUUAUGUGCCGUUCCUCCUUAUAUUUGUGUGUUUAUCAGUCAAGUUUUGUGGUUUACCUCAUGUUGCUAAUAAAAAUUUAAUGUUUUCUGCC